CUUGUACCUGGAGGUGAGGUCACAGCUCCACCACAUCCAGGCCUCCUUUUUUACCGCUCUACCUCUCGGAGACUGAUAUUAUGAGCACCUGGAGGGAAACUGAGGAAUCAAGUGAGCUUGCAAGCUUUUUCAACGACGAUGUCUAUACUUUUCAGUAUUUGGGACUAAAAUCAGAGUUCUUUCUUUCUUUAUUGCUAUCAGUCUCUGGUGAGUUGUGCCUGAUGUGAAAUUGACAGCAAGAAUCUCCAGGACUACUUUAUCUUAUCAAUUCACAGCCACAUAGGAAAUUCCUUUACACUCAAGGUAAUCUUUUUCAUAGGACUGCAUUUUUUGUGAUUGUUGCUCAUAUCCCUUAUCCCUCCUCUCCUUGCCCAGACCUCCCACUUUGUCCAGAGGCUUAAGCUGCUAUUUCCACUUGAUGAUCA
rnacentral:lncRNA from 1 species